GAUGAACGCUGGCGGCGUGCCUAAUACAUGCAAGUCGAGCGAACAGACGAGGAGCUUGCUCCUUUGACGUUAGCGGCGGACGGGUGAGUAACACGUGGGUAACCUACCUAUAAGACUGGGAUAACUUCGGGAAACCGGAGCUAAUACCGGAUAAUAUUUCGAACCGCAUGGUUCGAUAGUGAAAGAUGGCUUUGCUAUCACUUAUAGAUGGACCUGCGCCGUAUUAGCUAGUUGGUAAGGUAACGGCUUACCAAGGCAACGAUACGUAGCCGACCUGAGAGGGUGAUCGGCCACACUGGAACUGAGACACGGUCCAGACUCCUACGGGAGGCAGCAGUAGGGAAUCUUCCGCAAUGGGCGAAAGCCUGACGGAGCAACGCCGCGUGAGUGAUGAAGGUCUUCGGAUCGUAAAACUCUGUUAUUAGGGAAGAACAAACGUGUAAGUAACUGUGCACGUCUUGACGGUACCUAAUCAGAAAGCCACGGCUAACUACGUGCCAGCAGCCGCCGUAAAAC
rnacentral:rRNA from 1 species